rnacentral:tRNA from 1 species
AACUAUAUAGUCUAAAAAAGACUUUAAAUUGCAAAUUUAAAAAUAAAUUAAAUUUUAUAGUUU